UGUUGUGUUCUGGAGGAACGAUUUGCUUUUUUUUUCCUUUGGCAACUCGCUAGAUUAGAGGCUUGGAGUGGAGGUUGAGGAAGUGGGGCUUUUUCCAAAACACUCACGCACACAAACACCAACAUCAGGGUUAUUAAAGGUGAUUUAGUGCCGUGAAAGGCUAUUGUUGUCGUUGCCUUUAGGGAUUUCAUUGUAAGUAGUAGAGAAUUCUAACAUUUUCUGGGGGGGGGGGGGGCCAUGAAGAGGACAAAAACAGCAAUUUGUGGAUCUCGACAACAAAACUAUUUGGGAUAAAGACAUAAAUACAAUUAAUUUUUUUAUCUACAAACAAAAUACGUAGUUCCAUUUUUAAACAAGGCUCAGUAAUUUCUCAAAUCAGCCGUCCACUGUAGUUUUAUUUGGGCCAGCGGGACAGUGUACGUGGGAUUGAAUGAAAAUAAACUAUGUGCGUUCAUGGUAUGUGCGUUCAUGGUAACACGCCACCCAGUGCAACAGUGUGGAUAAUUGAUGUUUUUAAUAGUUGUGGGACAACAAUGGAGCUCUUUGGCUCAGAGGAACACAUUACUUUAAUUAAUAUGAUCAAAUCAUUGUUGUUGUUUUUUUUCAUGUCGUUAAAGUUUGAGAUAUUGCUAAAUGUAUUUUCCAAUGGACUCUGACAGGAGCUUGAUGUGGAGAGCAGAGGAGGUUAUUGAGGUGGGACAGGAGACUUCCCAGGUGAUGUCACAAGAUGUGGAGAGACAACCAAGACACCAAAAGCCUUGCUUAUUAAAAUAUGUCCCUUGAACACAAAACAUUUUUGCAUCAGGCUAAAGCAGAACCGGGACAGAGAUGUUGUUGCGUGCUGUAAGCUGUGUUCAAGACUUAUAAAGACCUCGUGGUACAAUCCAGCUCAUUGCAGAUCAUGACCACAGGUGGGGGUCUCCUACUCCUACUCACUUAUCCCCACAAUGGUCCAGAACAACGGCUGCAUCAACGUGAUGCUGCAUCGAACCGCCCCGUCCACCUCAGACUCCGUUUGAACCCCAACCAAAGACAAGCCCCCGAGAUACUGGAACUCGCUCGCUACCGGCAGCGACUCCCUCCAAACCCAGAGGGUGCAAUCCAAAGGUUUUUGCCUGGAGAGAACCACAGAGGUGCUUUAACAGUACCUGGAGAAGGAAGAAGAAUGAGCGUGAUGAAAGGACAAUGACUGAGGUUUGUGGAGACAAUGAGACGGUGAGAAGAGUAGAAAGGGCAUCCGAGAGGUCAGCGGUGGAAGACACAAACAGAAGGAAAGCAGGCAGGUGUUCCGUCAAUCCAAUCAGUGGGCAAAGCGGAUGGAGGGAUAAGGAGAAAGAAACCAGGGAUCAGAGCGGUCUUAUGGCAGCGGACUCCACGGCCACGUAUACUGGGAAGUGGGCUAUAAACAGCUUUACUCAACCAGUGGUCUCUGGUCACUCGGCUCCGCCCCCUGCUCGAAAACACAAAGGGGUCAAAGUUACAUGCAACAUAAGUUUUAUAUGAACACUGGAUCAAAUAUUUCGCUGUCAAUUACUUACUUUUUAAAACUAUUUUGCUAAACUAUCUAACACUAAAAUAAGGACAUUUUAAAUUAUUUUCCAAACUCUGUACUAUGGGGAGAUAUUUACAGGUGCCUUGGAAUGACAGCAUCUCCUGUAUUAUUUAUUUAAAAGGAAGUAGGUUGAUGUCGUUCGCUGGUCUAGAAGUCUUCAGCUGUAGUUCCUCUAAUGGCCACUAGAUGCUGCCUUCAAAAGAAAAACAUUGAUUAUAUUGAUACGAUGGAAGAAACUUCUCUCCAGAAAAACAACGUUUACACGCUUACAAUAUAUAAAAGUCAAAUCACUAUUAGAUAGUGGCCAUAAAGAGCUUGAUGGAAAAUAAAAUAAAAUACGCAUUAGAGGCCACGAUAAGAGUCCCGCUCAUCAAACAGGUCGCGGACGGCCCAGGAAGGAAGGAUGUGUGCUACACUCGGGUGACCUUUGACCCACAUGACUCUGGACCAAAUGCUAUUGCCAAGAUGCCCACUUCCUUAUCUGGGGAAACGGAGACGUUUGGGCCCUUUAUUCCAGAGAUAAAAAGGAACCAGAUAAAACAACUGACAUAUUUGUGUUUCUUCCUCUCUGGAACAAGUCCAGACGUGCUGAGAGCAAAGUCUGUGAGCUCUGCGAGUCUCUGCAGGUGAAAUGCAUUUCAAAAUAUGUUUCAGGUCUGAUCUUAGUGUGUCUGGUGUGCACGUUACCCGUCUGCUGCUGUAAUCCUGUAGAUGUCCCCGCUGCGAGACUAAUAAAGGAUUAUCUUAUCUUAAUGUUGAGCAUUCAAAUAACAUUGCAUUGCACUUUCCC